rnacentral:rRNA from 1 species
AGAAUCAACGCUGGCGGCGCGCCUAACACAUGCAAGUCGAACGAGAAAGUGGAGCAAUCCAUAAGUAAAGUGGCGUACGGGUGAGUAACACGUGGAUCAUCUGCCCUUUUGUGGGGAAUACCGCUGGGAAACCGGCGACAAUACCGCAUAAGCCCGAGAGGGGAAAGCAGCAAUGCGCAGAAGGAGGAGUCCGCGGUCGAUUAGUUAGUUGGCAGGGUAAAGGCCUACCAAGACUGUGAUCGAUA